rnacentral:rRNA from 1 species
GACGAACGCUGGCGGCGUGCUUAACACAUGCAAGUCGAACGAAGUGGCGAACGGGUGAGUAAUACGUGGGUAACCUGCCCUACUUUAUGGGAUAAGCCUUGGAAAGGGGGUCUAAUACCGAAUAAAGGGGGGUGGGCUCGCGGCCGAUCAGCUUGUUGGGGGGGUGAUGGACUACCAAGGCGGGGAAGGGUAGCCGGCAUGGGAGGGGGAACGGCCACAUGUGGCCGGCGAUACUUCCCAGAGUCCGACGGGAUGCAGCAGUGGGGGAGAUUGCACAAUGGGCGACAGCCUGAUGCAGCGACGCCGUGUGGGUGAUGGAGGCUUUCGGGUUGUAAACCUCGUUCGCUAUCGAAAGGGUAGGUGGAGAAGAAGCGCCGGCUAACUACGUGCCAGCCGCCGCGGUAAUAC